UCCCGACGGUGCUUGCUCCUCUCGUUCCUGACGCCGCACCCUCCUCUCGAAGCCGCUCUCCUCCUCCAAUGGCGUUCACUCCUCCCGACGCCGCUCCCCUCCUCCCCACGCCGCUCCGCGACACCGUCAUCCCAUCGCCGUUGCCCUCAGGAGAUUCUCCUCUGACCCACAGAGCUCUUUCUGGGUGCGGCGCCAUGGCUCCACCUUGGCCAUCGUUGUCCCCUCCACAAGUGGUUCUUGUGGCAUCCACAGCUCCGCUAGUUCUCGUGUGCUGAUCCGUCUCCCCUCGCGCAUGGCGGUAUGGCGGUGCUUCAUCAGCCAAACCCAUGGCUGGAUCUCAAGUGUAUUGCAGGAGGGCAGCAGAUCGGAGCGGAGAGUCCUUGCCUUCAAUCGCCAUCAGGAAAGGUCCAAAUCUCUCGCGGAUGCGACCACCUUCCAGUCUCAACGGCGACCUCGAAUCUGUUCCCCUGUGUCGGCUGGCGGCAUCCAUCCACCUAGGGCGUCAUUGCUGAGUUGCAGUGGCCGUAUUUCGUACUGGUGGCCCCGUCAAUCACCAUCCCCGAAGAGGAGGCAGGAUCCUACGGUAGUACGGUAAGCUGCCGCAAAUAGCUGCAUCCAGCCAUAAACCUUUGAGGUUCAUGAUUCCCCUAUAGGUGCUAUGGAAAAAUAUUUUGUCUGUUCAGAUCACUAUGCCUUCAGUGUCCUUUCACUCUUGCAAAUGCAUUAUAAUUUAAUACUUGUGUUUUUCUAGCUACAUAAAAAUCACAGUUCUCUUACGGUAAAUUUGUCCAAAAAAUCACUCAGGCUUUGUAGAUCCUUGAAGUAGUCUGGUUUUUCAGAUGUAGAAUGAAGGCUUUGUGGAACAGAUAACCUUCAUGCACUAGGUCGCACAGAUUUUAGUGUGCUGUGAAGCCCUCAACCUCUACUGGCUCUGACCUCAACACAGGUGCUGAUCCCAAGGACAUCUUUCUAGCAAAACUUUCAGACAGUCUUGUAAGUUCCUGCCUGCUAAUUCAUUUUGGCACCAUAGUCAUCAAUCUGUCUUCAGUUCCCAUUCAUUUUGUCUUGGCUCUUGUGUUAGAUAUGUUCUGCAAACUACUCUUUUCAUGGAAUUAAUAUUUUUUUAUAAAUUAGCAUUUUAAGUUUUGCAGUAAAGGGUGGAUCAGAUUGUCAAUUCUAUUAUUUGCUAAAUGAACUAGCCUUUGGUUAGUUUCCUGAAAUCAUUUCAUUAUCUCUUUUAAACUGUGUAUAUUGACCUUUAGGCUUAGGUUUGUGUUGGAUCUGUGCAACGAAUAAUUCAUGAUUAGCUAUAUUAAUUGAUGGCGUAAUGUCUUAAAAAAUUGAUGACUUUGUGGUAAAACAUGCAUUUGAAAUAUGUUGGAUUGGCGAAAUCAGUAGAGACUAGAGAGUUGUUUGGGAUUCUGAACCUGAAGCUUUAGAAGAAAAGGUGUUCAUUUCCUCAUUCUACAUCAAGCACUAACAGCAGCAGGAGCAUAUUCCUUAUUCUGUGCAUUUUUUUGACUCUUCACACUUAAAAUUUGGUGCCUUAUUCUCCUGCAUCUCUUGCCUAUAAAAUAUGAGAUUUGAUCUAAACUAUGUCAUCAUCCUGCAUUUCUAGAUGCUGGCUAAUAGUUAACUUGGCUACCAUGGAGAGUUACUAUCUAAGCUAAAUCAUCUCAUUUUUAUAAAAACAAAUUAGUUAUCUUCAGUUUGCACAUUAGCAAAGAAGAUGGUGUUCGGUGCAUGUGUCAUUGUAGAAGCUAGCAUUUUUUUAAUGGUUGCACUCACGCCAUUUUUCUAUAUUUCUUUUCUCUCUCUAUCCUGUGUUUGGAUAACAAUUUGAGUCUUUGACCUUUUUCAGUCUUAAGGAUG